CGCGUAGGCGGCUUUGCAAGUCCGUUGUGAAAUCCCUCGGCUCAACCGAGGAACUGCGACGGAUACUGCUCAGCUUGAGUCCCGGAGAGGGUAGCGGAAUUCCCAGUGUAGCGGUGAAAUGCGUAGAUAUUGGGAGGAACAUCGGUGGCGAAGGCGGCUACCUGGACGGGUACUGACGCUGAGGCGCGAAAGCUAGGGAGCAAACA
rnacentral:rRNA from 1 species